rnacentral:rRNA from 1 species
UUCCAGACUCCUACGGGAGGCAGCAGUGGGGAAUAUUGGGCAAUGGACGCAAGUCUGACCCAGCAACGCCGCGUGAAGGAAGAAGGCUUUCGGGUUGUAAACUUCUUUUAAGGGGGAAGAGCAGAAGACGGUACCCCUUGAAUAAGCCCCGGCUAACUACGUGCCAGCAGCCGCGGUAAUACGUAGGGGGCAAGCGUUAUCCGGAUUUACUGGGCGUAAAGGGAGCGUAGGCGGCCUGCCAAGUCUGAUGUGAAAUACCGGGGCUCAACCCCGGGGCUGCAUUGGAAACUGGCAGGCUGGAGUGCCGGAGAGGCAGGCGGAAUUCCUAGUGUAGCGGUGAAAUGCGUAGAUAUUAGGAGGAACACCAGUGGCGAAGGCGGCCUGCUGGACGGUGACUGACGCUGAGGCUCGAAAGCGUGGGGAGCAAACAGGAUUAGAUACCCGCGUA